rnacentral:misc_RNA from 1 species
UCGUACUACAGAGGUGCGAGGGCUGUCGCUGACCUUUUUUCAAAGGUUGUGCACGCCCGAGCACUCUCGUCUACAAUCCACCUCACCACUUGUGCAUCACCGCGCGGGGCCUCCCUCUUGGCUCGCUUCGAGAGAGGCUCGCGUUCUUCACAUCACACACAUACCUUUUUAGUUUUGAAUGUCAUUCAUUUGCGAUAACACGCAACCAAUA